rnacentral:rRNA from 1 species
UACUGACACUGAGGAACGAAAGCAUGGGUAGCGAAGAGGAUUAGAUACCCUCGUAGUCCAUGCCGUAAACGAUGUGUGUUAGACGUUGGAAAUUUAUUUUCAGUGUCACAGCGAAAGCAAUAAACACACCGCCUGGGGAGUACGACCGCAAGGUUAAAACUCAAAUGAAUUGACGGGGACCCGCACAAGUAGUGGAGCAUGUGGUUUAAUUCGAAGAUACGCGCAGAACCUUACCAACACUUGACAUGUUCGUCGCGACUUUAAGAGAUUAAAGUUUUCGGUUCGGCCGGACGAAACACAGGUGCUGCAUGGCUGUCGUCAGCUCGUGUCGUGAGAUGUUGGGUUAAGUCCCGCAACGAGCGCAACCCUCACUUUUAGUUGCCAUCAUUUAGUUGGGCACUCUGAAAGAACUGCCAGUGAUAAGCUGGAGGAAGGUGGGGAUGACGUCAAGUCCUCAUGGCCCUUACGUGUUGGGCUACACACGUGCUACAAUGGCAUUUACAACAGGAAGCAAAACGGCGACGUUAAGCAAAUCCUAAAAAAAUGCCUCAGUUCGGAUUGUACUCUGCAACUCGAGUACAUGAAGCUGGAAUUACUAGUAAUCGCGGAUCAGCGCGCCGCGGUGAAUACGUUCCCGGGUCUUGUACACACCGCCCGUCACACCAUGGGAGUUGGUUCUACCUUAAGGCAAAGGUUAAAAACUUUGACCACGGUAUAGUCAGCGACUGGGGUGAAGUCGUAACAAGGUAACCGUA